rnacentral:rRNA from 1 species
AACGAACGUUAGCGGCGCGCUUAACACAUGCAAGUCGCACGAGAAAGGGCUUCGGCCCCGGUACAGUGGCGCACGGGUGAGUAACACGUGGGUAAUCUUCCCAAUGGCGGGGGAUAACCUUCCGAAAGGAGGGCUAAUACCGCAUAAGACCACGGCCUCGAAAGAGGCUGAGGUUAAAGCUGGCCUCUAUACAUAAGCUAGCACCAUUGGAUGAGCCCGCGGCCCAUCAGGUAGUUGGUAGGGUAACGGCCUACCAAGCCUAAGACGGGUAGCUGGUCUGAGAGGAUGAUCAGCCACACUGGAACUGAGACACGGUCCAGACUCCUACGGGAGGCAGCAGUGGGGAAUCUUGCGCAAUGGGCGAAAGCCUGACGCAGCGACGCCGCGUGGGUGAUGAAGGCCUUCGGGUUGUAAAGCCCUGUGGGGAGGGACGAAUAAGUGCAGGCUAAUACCCUGCAUGAUGACGGUACCUCCUUAGCAAGCACCGGCUAACUCUGUGCCAGCCGCCGCAGUAACAC